UCUGAAGCUCUGAUGCUUCCUACGUAUCUC
rnacentral:piRNA from 1 species